ACUAACUGUUAAAUAACUUAGUUGCAUUGUUUCGUUACAAGUUUAACCUCGAUUUUUUUUUCUAUUUCUAAACUGACCACAACCAGCAUUCUUGUUUGGAUGGUUCAUAAUUGCGAGUGUAAUUUGUUUGGAAUUUACCAGAUGCACGCAUAUAUGGAGAAAAAGUGUAUAAUUUCGAACGACUUUAUCGAUUGUUACUAUCUUCGACGCUGUGGCGAGUACGUUUUGUGUAAAUCGAAGCAACAGAAGUCGGCACGUACGCAUUACGAACUACUCUCUCGCCGUGUAGUGAAUGAAGCAACAGUCUCUACAAGUCCUCAAGCAUUGAUGCACAGCGAACAAAAAGGCGAAGAUGGAAGAAAAAACGAGCGGCGCGCACAGCGAGAAGAAUGAAACCGAAAGAAACACGUGUGCGAGUGGUGCGCUGGCCGGCGCCGUUGAAUUAUGUUUACGUACGAUAUAAUUAUGAAAUAUUAUGGAAUAUGUUAAUGAAAAAAAAUUAAGUUUCAUCGAAUAUAAUUGCUAAUGAGUGUUCUGGACGCCGAUGCGAAGAGGUUCAAGUUCGAGGAACGCAUUCGAGGGCAAAGACGCUUUAAUGUCGAACCGUUACGUCAAUCAGUUUGGAGUUGGAUGAGAAAAAAUGCACGGGAGCAAUUUAUAAACAGAAUCAAUAUAAUUAUAUUUAAUUUUUAAUUCAAUCAUCAAUUCUGGGUUAUAAAUAGAAAUAUAUACUGUAAUUUUACAAGAAAAUAAUAAAUUACAAGUAAAAAAUUA